UACCAGAAUUUAGACCAUCUGUAUAGCCUUCCGAGUAGCCUUCUUUGUAGUGGGUUUGUGAGUGUCCUCUAGAUUCAAUGAUGAGUCAGAAAUGUCGUCAACUAUAUUUACAGUCUGAGAAUUCAUGAAUGCGUCACCAAGACUGUCAAAUGUUGGAAUACUCUGUUGGAGAAGAAAACAUUGAAGCGUGAUUUGGUUCAAUGACCAAAGGCAUUACUUUCUAAGCAAUAGAAAAAGAUGAACAGUAAAUGCUCAGAGAUGUCAAAGGCUGACAUAGCAGCAGCAACAAUACACCCAGUGUAAUCCCACAAGUG
rnacentral:lncRNA from 1 species